CAAACUCCAGAGUUCUGUUAUCGGAGCAUUUUACUAUUACAGCAGCUGUAUCAUAUGGACAUUUAAGCUACUUUAAAGAAAAUUAACAAGUAUUAAUGCAAUAAUAAUUAUUUUUAAAUAAAAGUGUAGCUACUUCUUAAUUUGGAAGAACAGAUUCAAGCAGUUUACGUAACAAAAUCCUUGAAACUCUUUUAGAGAGCCUUGAAAUCCAGGAUGGAUACUCACAUUCAGUCCAGACGAUAAUCACGGCCCAGAACAGCAACACUGUGACACUGCAGAGUCCUGCCAUAAUCACAGGUUUGUAGACACGAGAGGAUCACCACAGAGUCCAGACAAUCCAACAGACGGGAUAGACAUGACUAGGGGAUAGGACAGGGAGAAAAGGCAAGUUUAAUAAUAAUAAUAAUAAUAAUAAUGUAUACUUUAUUGUUCCCCGUGGGGAAAUUACUCCUCUGCAUUUAACCCAUUCACAGUGAAGCAGUGGGCAGCCACCAAUCCAGCGCCCGGGAGCAGUGUGUAGGGACGGUACCUUGCUCAGGGGUACCUGAGGGUAGCCAUUCAGUGGAUUUGAACCCCCGACCUUCCGAUCAUGGGGCUUUUAAACUGAGUGUGGAUCCUUUUUAAUCCAGAGGACUUGGCGUCCAUGUUUUCCAAAAAGAAUUAAACAUGUGAGUGUGUCUGACCUCAGAACAGUUUUCCACGUUGCCUCAGCUGAUUUUAAAUGAGUGUUGUCCCAAUUAGACAGCAUCAAGUUCUUUGUAUGACACAGCUUUAACCUGCUUUUGAGCACAGCUGUGUUCAGAUAUUGACUCCUGAGCCUGUGCAGUGACUUCAAUGACAGAAUUGUGCCUGUUUUUAAUGCAGCGCCCCCCGAGGACCCAAAGAUCACAGCAUGCAGCACUGACUGUCAGGCCUGUCUCCUGCACACAGAGAUUUCUCCACAUUUAAUGAAUCUUUUGUGGAUAUUUUUUCCUGUAGAUGCUGAGAGCUUCUUCCCAGUUUUAUGCUGAGAAAUAUUACUUGGAAACUGGUGCAGCUUUUUGCACAGCGGUGAAACUUUAUCCUUCAUUUGCUGGAGACAUUUUCCAAGUUGGGCCAAUUAUUCAUAAAGUGCUCCUCAAUCUGUUUCGUUUUUACUUUUCCAUCAAUUUGUUGAACCUGUCAGAAGUUUGUUGUUUCUGUCAUCUAAUUCAACAUUUUUCAUUAAAUAUUAAAAUAUCUCCGAUCAGACAUUU
ensembl:lncRNA